rnacentral:rRNA from 1 species
CUACGGGAGGCAGCAGUGAGGAAUAUUGCCCAAUGGGCGCAAGCCUGAGGCGGCAACGCCGCGUGGACGAUGAAGGCCUUCGGGUUGUAAAGUCCUUUUCUGGGGGAAGAGCAAGGACGGUACCCCAGGAAAAAGUGUCGGCUAACUACGUGCCAGCAGCCGCGGUAAUACGUAGGUGGCGAACGUUAUCCGGAAUCACUGGGCGUAAAGGGUCCGCAGGUGGCAUGUCAAGUCGAUUGUGAAAGCUCCCGGCUCAACUGGGAGAGGACGGUCGAAACUGGCAAACUAGAGUCCGACAGAGGUCGGCGGAAUUCCCGGUGUAGUGGUGGAAUGCGUGGAUUUCGGGAGGAACGCCAAAAGCGAAAGCAGCCGGCUGGGUCGAGACUGACACUGAGGGACGAAAGCGUGGGUAGCGAACAGGAUUAGAAACCCCUGUAGUCC